AAAAGCUCAAAUUUAAAAUCUGGCAGUCUACCUUUUCUUCUUUGGCUGUCCGAGUUGUAAUCUAGAGAAGUGUUACCCGUGCUGGACCAUGUAUAAGUCUCCUGGAAUGGAGCGUCGUAGAGGGUGAGAAUCCCGUCUUUGACAUGGACUUGCCAGUGCAUAGUGGUGCGCUCUCAAAGAGUCGAGUUGUUUGGGAAUGCAGCUCUAAAUGGGUGGUAAACUCCAUCUAAAGCUAAAUAUUGGCGAGAGACCGAUAGCGAACAAGUACCGUGAGGGAAAGAUGAAAAGGACUUUGGAAAGAGAGUUAAACAGUAUGUGAAAUUGUUGAAAGGGAAACACUUGAAGUCAGUCAUGUCUCCUAGGGAUCAACCUGUCUCUUUUUGGUGGGUGAACUUCCUAGUGUGACAGGUCAACAUCAGUUUUGACUGUUGGAAAAGAGCAGAGGGAAUGUGGCACCUUUGGGUGUGUUAUAGCCUUCUGUCAUAUGUAGCAGUCGGGACUGAGGAAUUGCAGCGCGCCGCGAGGCAGGGUCUUUGACCACGUUCGCGCUUAUGAUGUUGGCGUUUAAUGGCUUUAAUUGACCCGUCUUGAAACACGGACCAAGGAGUCUAACAUGCCUGCGAGUAUUUGGGUGUGAAAACCCUUGUGCGC
rnacentral:rRNA from 1 species